GAUGAAGAACGCAGCGAAAUGCGAUAAGUAAUGUGAAUUGCAGAAUUCAGUGAAUCAUCGAAUCUUUGAACGCACCUUGCACCCUUUGGCAUUCUGAAGGGUAUGCUCGUUUGAGUGUCAUUGUACUCUCACACUCCCGAUCUUUGCAUUGGGAGCAGUGGACUUGGGUUUGCUGCUUCACCGUCGCUUACCUCAAAUAGGUUAGUGCAACUCUUGGUUGGACAUAGUACGGCGUGAUAAGUGUUCUUCGCCGGUGCCUCGCAAAGAGGGUGGCCGAUCGGGAUGUUGUGCUCCAAACCGUCUUCGGACAAUCUCUGACGACUUGACCUCAAAUCGAGUAAGACUACCCGCUGAACUUAAGCAUAUCAAUAAGCGGAGG
rnacentral:misc_RNA from 1 species